rnacentral:rRNA from 1 species
CCGUGGCUUUCUGAUUAGGUACCGUCAAGAUGUGCACAGUUACUUACACAUAUGUUCUUCCCUAAUAACAGAGUUUUACGAUCCGAAGACCUUCAUCACUCACGCGGCGUUGCUCCGUCAGGCUUUCGCCCAUUGCGGAAGAUUCCCUACUGCUGCCUCCCGUAGGAGUCUGGACCGUGUCUCAGUUCCAGUGUGGCCGAUCACCCUCUCAGGUCGGCUAUGCAUCGUUGCCUUGGUAAGCCGUUACCUUACCAACUAGCUAAUGCAGCGCGGAUCCAUCUAUAAGUGACAGCAAGACCGUCUUUCACUUUUGAACCAUGCGGUUCAAAAUAUUAUCCGGUAUUAGCUCCGGUUUCCCGAAGUUAUCCCAGUCUUAUAGGUAGGUUAUCCACGUGUUACUCACCCGUCCGCCGCUAACAUCAGAGAAGCAAGCUUCUCGUCCGUUCGCUCGACUUGCAUGUAUUAGGCACGCCGCCAGCGUUCAUCCUGAGCCAGGAUCAAACUCUC